rnacentral:rRNA from 1 species
AACGAACGCUGGCGGCAUGCCUAACACAUGCAAGUCGAACGGGAUCCUGGCUUCGGUCAGGUGAGAGUGGCGGACGGGUGAGUAACGCGUGGGAACCUGCCCAGUGGUGGGGGAUAACUGCGGGAAACUGCAGCUAAUACCGCAUGAGCCCGAGAGGGGAAAGAUUUAUCGCCAUUGGAGGGGCCCGCGUUCGAUUAGGUAGUUGGUGAGGUAACGGCUCACCAAGCCGACGAUCGAUAGCUGGUCUGAGAGGAUGAUCAGCCACACUGGGACUGAGAUACGGCCCAGACUCCUACGGGAGGCAGCAGUGGGGAAUAUUGGACAAUGGGGGGCAACCCUGAUCCAGCAACGCCGCGUGAGUGAUGAAGGCCUUC